CAAGGAUGUACUUUUCACAUUUCAAUUAUAGAAAUUCUUAUCCUGGGAUGUUAUUCUCAUCUGCACAAGGUAUGUGACCUGAGGCAAGUCACCACAUCUCCCUGGGAUUCAUGCUAGAAUAGUAUCAAUUAGGAUAAUUGAGAAUCCAUCUCAGUGUCUGGUUGUUCCAGAAUUCAAAGCCUGAAGAGGAUAGUAAAAGACAAACACUACAUGGAUGCAGAAAGGUGAUGCCUCAACAUUGAAUUCCUAGAGAUCACUAUCACAUUGAGGUUUUGAUGCGUUCAAAGCCCACCUCUUAAUGAAGAUUAUGGCAAACAAAGAUCCAUAUUAAAAUUGGCUUAAAUAGGUAUGUACUUGCAGAGAGAUGGAAAGAUUGGCCUUUCAUCAAACUGAUCAGAAUGCUUUCAGCAUGUCGGCCAGUGAUUCAAAAGCAGGCAUUUUUUUUUGACUAAGCUACCAGACGAAUAGAUCUAGAGAGAGAUCCUCUCUCUUGCUGCAUUAAAACCACCAGGACAGGGGCGCUUAGGUGGUUCAGUUGGAUAAGCGUCGGACUCUUGAUUUUGGCUCAGGUCAUGAUCUCAGUCAGGGGCAUGAGAUCCAGCCCCACAUCAGACUCCCAGCUCAGCAUGGAGCCUGCUAAAGAGUCUCUCUCUCCUUCUCCUUCUCCCACUCCCCCAACACCUCCCCACUGUCUCUCCCUCUCGAAAAAGACAAACCCCCCUGGAGAAACUUUAAAAAUCAUUCCUGUUCUGAUUUCUGAUUUGCUAGAUAGACUGUCGGAGACAAGCAUGUAAAUAGCAGAAAGAGCAAAGGCAGUGCCCCUAUUGAGAGGCAGGUCUGGGAGAGACAGAAUGGCCUCAGCCUAGCCACAGGUAGCAAACAUUCCUGAGCUGGCGCACAUCCAUCCAUCCAGAUGCUGUGGGUAGAAACCAGGCCUAACAAUGGAAUCCCCUAUAGGAGGAAGAGGAAGAAAGGGCAGGCUCAGAAAAUUAGAUAAAAAUUGGAAUGGGCUUAAGUCAGACAAUGGGUGGCAUGGUUUCUCUGUUCCAGCUAAGCCCAGACUUUAGUGGGAAAGAUACGCCUCCCACCUAAG